rnacentral:rRNA from 1 species
CCUACGGGAGGCAGCAGUGGGGAAUAUUGGUCAAUGGGCGAGAGCCUGAACCAGCCAAGUCGCGUGAAGGAAGAAGGUCUUAUGGAUUGUAAACUUCUUUUAUAGGGGAAUAAAGAUGAGUACGUGUACUCAGUUGUAGGUACCCUAAGAAUAAGGAUCGGCUAACUCCGUGCCAGCAGCCGCGGUAAUACGGAGGAUCCGAGCGUUAUCCGGAUUUAUUGGGUUUAAAGGGUGCGUAGGCGGGUUGAUAAGUCAGUGGUGAAAGGUUUGCGCUCAACGUAGACAUUGCCAUUGAAACUGUCAGUCUUGAGUACAAAUGAGGUAGGCGGAAUGUGUUGUGUAGCGGUGAAAUGCAUAGAUAUGACACAGAACACCAAUUGCGAAGGCAGCUUACUGGGAUGUAACUGACGCUGAGGCACGAAAGCGUGGGGAUCAAACAGGAUUAGAUACCCUGGUAGUCCACGCAGUAAACGAUGAUUACUAGCUGCUAGCGAUAGAAUGUUAGUGGCUAAGCGAAAGCGAUAAGUAAUCCACCUGGGGAGUACGACCGCAAGGUUGAAACUCAAAGGAAUAGACGG